rnacentral:rRNA from 1 species
UACGUAGGGGGCAAGCGUUGUCCGGAUUUAUUGGGCGUAAAGAGCGUGUAGGCGGCCAUACAGGUCCGUUGUGAAAACUCGAGGCUUAACCUCGAGACGUCGAUGGAAACCGUAUGGCUAGAGUCCGGAAGAGGAGAGUGGAAUUCCUGGUGUAGCGGUGAAAUGCGCAGAUAUCAGGAAGAACACCCGUGGCGAAGGCGGCUCUCUGGGACGGUACUGACGCUGAGGAGCGAAAGCGUGGGGAGCGAACAGG